AGGGAAAUGGUGGGCAAGAAACGAUCGACAUUUACCUAUACACUUGCAGGUAACGGUGAUUUCACCCUGAGCUCACGAGAGAAACUAUAUUUGUUAGUGUGACUGAUUGGGGGAAAAAUGAUUUUUUUUGGUUUUAAUUCAUCGAAACACUAUAGGGACGAUAAGUCGUCCCCAUAGGUGUCCCCAAAACUACGUCACAUGAUCUGAAGACUACNGGGAAUUCAUCAAGCGGGGUGGAGGAAUGGUCAACUCAUCAGGCUCAUGAUCUGAAGACUACAGGUUCGAAUCCUGUCCCCGCCUAAUCACUUGAGAUCUUUUUUUGGGUGGUCAAAGUUGUGUUGCCAGCUAGCGAAUGUUCAGAUGGUGAACAGUUCAGUAUCAAGUCUGUAACGAAGCUAGUACGGUUCAAUGGUUUUAGAAUAAUAGUGAACCGGGUAACUGGAUCGCCCCGGCGGGGUUGCUCUGACUCAGACGGCCCUGAGAAGCGCAGCACUCCGGUAACGGAUCCUUUUGCAGGUGAAGGGGCAGAGCGUUCCCCGGUCUCUCUUGGCAAUAGUUUACCUUUCUAAUGUUCUGCCUUGAUGAGUGGGAGAGGUAGCCGAAUUAGGAUAUCACUACUGGCACGGACUGCGCAGGAAGUUGUGAUCCUAAAAUGAACUAGAAAAAUGAACCACCCAUUACCAAACUAGACUCCUAGUUUAAUUAACGUCGGCUUAUCUGUCAGUCGUGUUGGGUCUGCCGCUCAGUUGAAAACUAUGAAACAAGUCUGUGGUAGUUCAAAACUGGAAUUGG
rnacentral:lncRNA from 1 species